CCUACGGGAGGCAGCAGUGGGGAAUAUUGCACAAUGGGCGCAAGCCUGAUGCAGCGACGCCGCGUGAGGGAUGACGGCCUUCGGGUUGUAAACCUCUUUCAGUAGGGAAGAAGCGAAAGUGACGGUACCUGCAGAAGAAGCGCCGGCUAACUACGUGCCAGCAGCCGCGGUAAUACGUAGGGCGCAAGCGUUAUCCGGAAUUAUUGGGCGUAAAGAGCUCGUAGGCGGUUUGUCGCGUCUGCCGUGAAAGUCCGGGGCUCAACUCCGGAUCUGCGGUGGGUACGGGCAGACUAGAGUGAUGUAGGGGAGACUGGAAUUCCUGGUGUAGCGGUGAAAUGCGCAGAUAUCAGGAGGAACACCGAUGGCGAAGGCAGGUCUCUGGGCAUUAACUGACGCUGAGGAGCGAAAGCAUGGGGAGCGAACAGGAUUAGAUACCCUGUAGUCCAUGCGUACGUAGGUCGACGUAGUGUGGGACGAUCUACGUUCGUCGCGUACGCUACGCAUAGUCGCCGCCGUCGGGUAGGUACGGCCGCGACGACGUAAACGUACGAACGAAGUAGACGGCGUGAGACGUCGCCGACGGACGACGACGAGGGAGAGG
rnacentral:rRNA from 1 species